UUAUCAUUAUAUUAUGAGCGACCGAUAAGAAACUACAGGGUGGUUCAAAGAGUGUUUGAACAUUUUUUUUAUGUAAAUGUAAUGUAAAUAAAUAAAAAGUGCAUGAAUAGUUUUCAAUGAUUUUAUGGCUUAGAUUGGAAGGAGUAAAUCUUCAUUAAAAUGACUUCUACGGCUAGCAUUACAGUACCCCACUUUGUCCACCCAAUUUCUCAGUAUAUUUUCGCGAGUUUCUGCACUUAUGGCAUCAAUGGCAGGUUCAAUUUCAUAUUUCAAUCACCGCUGGAUGAUUGGGGUAACAUUUAACUUAAACGGCGCCCUCAACAAAUAGUCGAGGCAGCUUAACGACGUUACUGUUUCGGCUGAUUUUUCGAUUUUCAAAAACUUUAGAAAGGCAAAGAAUUGAAUGUACGAUUGGCAGUAAUUGACGUGUGGAUAUUCCAAGCCCCAAAUGCGAUAGUUUUGUUUGUUAAUAAAGCCACUCAAGUGAAUGAGUUUUAUCGGGCCAGCAAUAAGCUAAAUUUCUGACACAUAACGGACGUCAUUUCAAUGUUUUAAAAUAUUCUCAAAGAAACGUGCCUUUCCCUCUCUAUAACUAUAUAUUAUAUAAUGUUAUGUACGUGUAUGUAUGUGUGUAUGUAGAGCAUUAAAGCUUGUUUAAGAUUACAUUUAUUUUAUAAUAAGUAUUCACCACAGGUAUUUUUAAAUAACGAUUCAAUUUUGCGAAAUGUCAACAAAAUACUUAUACACAUUAGGCAUUGCUAAUUGCUGAAAUAUUCAACUGUCUGUUCUCUACGAUACGAGUAUUUAGUGUCGCCGAGUAUUAAUAACAAUUUAAAUUCCAAUACCGUCACUUGUGUACAUAUAAGUUUACUCAUACCAAAAACAUACGUGUAGAUCAAAUGAACAAAGCAUUCCAUUCAUUUUCAACUCAACAUACGAAACUUUCUUGGUAUGCGCAACAUUUCUUAUUGUUAUCAUUUUGUGGAGAUGUUACACAAGGAAGCUUGACUCACCGCCCGUUCAAAUUCUUAAACAUUGGACAAGAAGUCUCUGUAGGGGCAAAAUCGGCAGAGGCAAUCUGCACCAAAGCUUUAACGCGCAUGCGUCAAUCAAGCACACAAACUAGAACGUAACACUGGGCAAAAGCUGCGAUUAAUAUCUAUGAGUCGCUCCACCUUCAUCUUUUUCAAUUACUGAUCUCGCGGGUGGCAGGUCUGAGCAGGUGACAGAUUGCAUUACAUCCAGCCCAUUUAUCUGAACUGGAGUUCCGCUGAUAUGACGCACGCGCAUAUUGUCAGCUCAUUGUUACUAAUAUAGUACACCAUAAACAUCCCCUAACAAGUACGGGGAAUUCUGUUGAAGUGACAGUCCUUGGCCGGAUAUAAAUCCGGGUCGUUCCAGUUACGUAGAACCGACUGUCGUGGGAACGACAGUGAACAACCAAUCCGGUGAACAUUUUUGUUCGCGAUAAUAAAAUUAUAUUGUGUACUACCACCGCUAUGAUACAGUUAUUAUAUAAUCAUAAUAAUUUUAUAGUUGCG